GAAUAAACGCUCAUUCCGUAAAGUUAAUUGACCCAAUAAAAAUGGUAAUAUAUUAUCUACGACGAAGUUUUUGAAAUAAUUUAAAACUUUACAAUGACUUUGGUAUUUGGUGAAAUUAGAAACAAAUCAAAGGGAUCGCUCCUAACAGGAACUUGAACAUGAUUGAAUUUGCGGAGUUGAAGAAAAUCUUGAGCGAGAAAGUAGACAAAUGGGACGUGAUUCAUACAAUAUUAGCGCCGAUUGAAAUUUACGGUUGUUGGCAUUUGAUACAGCUAGACAUAACGAAGAAGAAGUACAUACACUGUUGUCCGUACGAAGAC
rnacentral:lncRNA from 1 species